GCUUACGGCCAUACCAACCUGGCUAUGCCUUAUCUCGUCUGAUCUCGGAAGCUAAGCAGGUUUGGGCCUGGUUAGUACUUGGAUGGGAGACCGCCUGCGAAUACCAGGUGCUGUAAGCU
rnacentral:rRNA from 1 species